CCCACGCCUCUCUCUGUACCCUGGAGGACCGGCUUUGCCUGGCAGUGGCCUGGCUGCCAGGUAGCUCCAGACUCUCUGCUCAGCGGGGCCCCAGGCUGCCCCGGUCCCCAGCCUGCGCCGGGCCCUAUAUAUAGCAUAGGUCUCCAUAGCCCUCUGCUGGACCCUGACGUCAGGAAAACUUGAUCUUGCCUGCUUCGCUCCUGCUUCUGAAACUGAUACUAGAAAUGAGAGAACAGACUCUACACAAUUCCCAUGGCCUUGACAUAAGUUGUGGGGGGGUGUGCAGUUCACUGGCCCAUGUGGAACUCGAACCAGCGACCUUGGUGUUACGGUGUUAUGAGCACCGCGUUCCAGCCAUUGAGCCAACCGGUCGCCCACUGGCAGCUCAGCUCCAAGCUCAAGCUGUUGUUUUAAUAUAGUUAUAGAGGGCAUAGCUCACUGGCGCAUGUGGGAGUCAACUGGCAACCUUGUUGUUAAGAGCUUGCAUUCUAACCAACUCUAACCAACUGAGCCAUCCGGCUGCCCCUGGAUCCUAUUCUUGAGGCUGGUUUCCUGGGGGUUCCGGAUAUCACCGUCAGCCCAGACCAAGGACAAGCUGAAGAAUCUGUGCCUGCGUCCCUGGGAAUGGACAUGGGCCAGCACAGAGGGACUUAUUCAGCGACAGGGUCCUGCUGCGUGUGGGGGUCAUGGCUGAAGAUUAUGGGAAGCCAGAGCACUUCCAAGGCUCCUCUUCUCUGCCCACGUCCCCUGCCACCCACACACAUCUUCAGUUUUUCCAGCUGAAAAGGAGAUUGUAUUUAGAAA